GCCAGGCAUGGUGGCGUGUGCCUGUAAUCCCAGCUACUCAGGAGGCUGAGGCAGGAGAAUCGCUUGAACCUAGGAGGCAGAGGUUGCAGUGAGCUGAAAUCGCACCACUGCACUCCUGCCUGGGUAACAGAGCAAGACUCUGUCUCAA
rnacentral:SRP_RNA from 1 species